rnacentral:rRNA from 1 species
GAUGAACGCUGGCGGCGUGCCUAAUACAUGCAAGUCGAGCGAACAGACGAGGAGCUUGCUCCUCUGACGUUAGCGGCGGACGGGUGAGUAACACGUGGAUAACCUACCUAUAAGACUGGGAUAACUUCGGGAAACCGGAGCUAAUACCGGAUAAUAUAUUGAACCGCAGGGUUCAAUAGUGAAAGACGGUUUUGCUGUCACUUAUAGAUGGAUCCGCGCCGCAUUAGCUAGUUGGUAAGGUAACGGCUUACCAAGGCGACGAUGCGUAGCCGACCUGAGAGGGUGAUCGGCCACACUGGAACUGAGCCACGGUCCAGACUCCUACGGGAGGCCGCAGUAGGGAAUCUUCCGCAAUGGGCGAAAGCCUGACGGAGCAACGCCGCGUGAGUGAUGAAGGUCUUCGGAUCGUAAAACUCUGUUAUUAGGGAAGAACAAAUUUGUAAUUAACUAUGCACGUCUUGACGGUACCUAAUCAGAAAGCCCCGGCUAACUACGUG